GACCGCAUAGCUCAGUUGGUAGAGCAUUGGGCUAGUAUUCCAAAGGUCGUAGGUUCGAUUCCCACCGUGGUCA